UCGGCAACGGAUAUCUCGGCUCUUACAUCGAUGAAGAACGUAGCAAAAUGCGAUACUUGGUGUGAAUUGCAGAAUCCCGUGAACCAUCGAGUCUUUGAACGCAAGUUGCGCCCGAAUCCAUCUGGUUGAGGGCACGUCUGCCUGGGUGUCACGUACACGCGCCUCCCGCGAACCUUUCCCCUUUUUCGGACGAAGGGUCUCGCAGGAGCAGAUAUUGGUAUCCCGUGCCU
rnacentral:rRNA from 1 species